GGAAGUCUUUCCUGGAGGCCCCAGGGAGCUCUCUGCAGAAAUCUUGGCAGCUGCUGAGCUCAACUGAAAGUCGACUUGAGAGAAAGGAUAUCUAUGCUCAAGGGGGAGAGCACAUACGGUAACGAGAAGAUCCGGCUUGACCCAAAACUCCACCUCAGAUCUCCGGCUGGCUUAAAGGUCAUACUUCCCAUCACAAACAAGAUGAGCUCAUUCAAGGAAAAGAGGCGAAGCUGAGAAAGAGAAGUGGGCUGUCACGUUCUGCCCACGGAAGCCCUGGGUUCCUGGCAGCUCACCACUAGCUUAUUCAAUUCCUGUAGGUUGGAAGGUUAUCCAGCUGGCUUGUGCGUCCAAGCCCUGAUGGUCGUCCCCUGCAUGGGAGUUGUAAGAUGUUAGACAUAUAUUGGGUGGUGCUGACAGCUGCAUGGUGAGUAUAUGGAAUAUAAAUAAACAAUGUAGUGUCAGAUGCUCUGGGUUGCUCGAUGGCUGGCCUGGCCCCUUGCUCUCAGCUCACACCUGUCAAAGUGAGUCUCUCUGGAGGCUUGCACUGCGAGCUGAAAACUGAGCGUGAAUCAUGACUUCUGGAUUCCUGUUGUACCUGUCUACACAUCCUUAUGUACCUUCAAGGCUCAUUUUUCCUCCUCUGCGUAACAGACUGAUCAUCCAAUUAGCGUGGGAAGGGAAAUUAGGAACCAUCCAACUUCAGAACAACUCUUUGUUUCCACUUCAUCCAGCAUUAACCUACCCUACCUCUGUAGGGAGCCAUAAUGCUUUCCUAACCACAACACUUACUUAGAGUAGCUUGCAGUGCUGGUUUAACGUCUCAGAUGUUCCAUGUGCACUUUGAGACUUCUGUGAAACUAUGUACAGGAUUUCUGAGUCAUUUGCUACUUGUCAGGUAAAAAUUAUUUUCCAGUUGUUUGCUAUUUCAUAUUACAAGACAUAAAAUAUUUUUGCAGGUCCCUUCCAACUGAACUACUCCAAUUGCUAAUGAUUUCUAAUUCCUAAUUCCUAAUUUUAAGUGUGUUAUAGCCUUCUGUCUUCACUGACUAUGGCUCCCUCAGACUGUAUUCUUGCAUUCAGACUCUUCACGUUAUCAUUUAUUUUAAAGCAACACUGUAGGAAUCUGUUUCAGGGAGUCACUGGACCAUCCUGCCAGAGCAAAUUGUCACCACAAUGGGGGGUGAAUCUGAUUUGCUGAAGCCAGCACUGUUUGAAGUGGAUUGGGCUUUGAUUAGAAGCAGUUUGCUGAAGUUUCUGUAAAUGAACCCGUGGAAGCAUAGAAAUUGUAAACUGUGAUGUGUACAUAUGAACUAUGGGAAAAAUUGUGCAUUUUCUCCCAGAAUACCCAUGCUAUGUUAAAAUACUCAUAAAAUACUAGUAACUGGGAACAGAAAAUUUCUUCCAAUGUAGAAAGUGAGUAUUUCUGAAAAAUAACUUACAUUGUUUUCUGGGAGAACACAAAGAAGACUGAAGAGGUAUGGAGAAGAGUUUGAUGUUAAUACUAGCAGUUGCAGUACUAAUACAAUGAAAAUGGAAAUUGUAACACUGCAGUGGAGAGACCGUGUAGGAUUUGUUAAGACCUUGUGAUAAAUGGCUCACAGUCUCAGUGGAGAGGUGCAUGUUUUGCCAUCUCCUUCUUCCUAGAGUAGAGACACCAGCUUUACUUGGUUUAGGUAGAAAAUGAUUCAUUGUCCUUGAGUUGCAUCUUGCCUGUAUUAAGCACCAGAAACUUCACAUUGAAAAAUAUGAGAGCUAACCAAGGAGUUACCACUCUGCAGAGAUGUGACUCUUCUGCCUUUUUCCUCCUCAUACUGAGCCCACAGUCAGCCCACUCCAGCUUUGCGCUGCAUUAACACUGUGGAGCAGGCUUUUCCAAUUAUCAGGAGUGAAGAAAAAAGGAUUUCACAAACUUAGUAAAAGGAUUUUUGAAAUCUUUAGGACAAGGACAGGAAUCCGCAUUCCCCACUGCUAUGGCAGUCCUUUAACUGGUGAGAAUAUUGAAUUGUCUCCUGUGUAAGCAAUGAUUUUAGGAAAGGAAAGCCUGUGAAGGCGGUCUGGAAUCUUGCAGGCUGCUUUCCCUUGAGCUGCUCCACUGGACUGAUCACAGCAGAGACAACUGAUGCAUAAUUCAAGGAGUUCAGAGCUGAGCUAAGAAAAAGCAAGGCACUGAGAGUUCCCACAUGCCAUGUAAUUGUCGGGUAUCCCAAGAGCUGGGCAGUAUAAUUAGUCUGAAGAGUGACAGAACAAGACACUGAACAACCAGCUUCUGAUGGCUACAGCACCACACUCCUGGCUUACUGCCCAGACACCUGGCAGAGCCCACAGUUCCUUCUCGUUAACCCUGGAAAUGCAGUCUAAUGUUGGGUCAUUUGAGAGCAAAGCCUAUUGCUCUGCUCCUGCUUCUAGAUUCAUAUGUGUCUUUCCAUCCUCUGGUAGCUUCUGCUAUUCCUUGGGCUUGUUGUUUGACAGUAGGCUGUAGGUUAAGGUUGUGCUUGGAAGCUUGUCUUUAAAUAAGAAUGUUGUAUCUUCCAUCCCAGGGUGGGAAAGGUUCCUGCUCCAUCAUAGUGAACGUGAGCACCUGCCUUAAACCAACCAUGGAGGGGGGCAGAAUCCUUCACUGCUGUAGUCCAAACUGCUCCAGGCCAUAGUUUGUUGAGGAAUUAAAUAGCAAGGACAGCCCUCACAAUAGUUAUUUGUCUUCUAAAGGAGUCUUGGGAAACUUAUCUACCUAUUUAAUUUGCUGCAAAAUAUGUUUCAUAUCUCUUGAGGUGCAAUACUGAAGGUUCAAAAAGUUAAGGUAACAGAAAAAAAUAAAUUGUUUGUCUUCUUGGUCAUGUACUGUUGGUCACAGUUUGAAUUAAGACUUAACUCUGAAGGAAAUUUCUGUCCUUACAGCUCCAUUUCCACUAAGGCCAGACGUGUAAAUUCUUAAACACCUUGUAUCUUGGAAGCAUAUAUUGAAACAGAUUAAGUUUGCAGGAGGAGAAAAGAGCAAAAGCCAAAUAUAUGCUCUAGUUGUAUAUUGGAAAAACUUGACAGAGCACUGUUUAGUAUCAGGUAGAGAUUUCCAGAAUAUUAUUACUACCUUAAUUAUGCUUCAGAGCAGAGCCAUGUAUUCUGCUUUUUACGGGCAUGGGGAAAGUAGAAACACAAUGAAUCAACCAUCUCUCUUCUUUUUCUUGACCAACACUUCCUAAAGAGGAAACCAGAACUUUGUAUAAAAAUCUGUUGUCAUACAGAUGAAGUAAGUACUUUAAUUAGAUUUUGUUGUAUAAUGCAGAUACACUAGAAUUUUUGCAUACUUCUACUGUAUUUUCUAUUUAUGCUAUUUUCAUGAAUAUUAUAUUUAUGUGUUGUUUUUUGUUGUUGUUGUUGUUUGUUUGCUUUACUGUUUUGUUUUUGUUUUUCAGUAAACCAUCUGCAACUUUUAUUCUUACUACUAGCAUUGGACUAUAAAGACUCCCAUUCUUGGCAGUUGUCUCUCUCUAUAUAUAGAAUAUAUAUUUAUACAUGUAUAUGUUUUCAGUUCAAGAUUUAGGUUAUGCUUAUAGUAAGGUGAAAAUUUACCCUCAUCAAUUAUCAGCAAAGAAGCUGUGUGGGAUUCUUUUAUUUUUUAUUUUUUUCCCAUAAGCUAUCAUUUCAAAUAACUUGCAUGUAUGAGCUGAAUACAUUCCCUAAAUACUUUGCCUUUUUCAAAAUAAUCUUAAUUUUUCUGCUUAGGUGCCCUGAGACUGGGGCAGAGAUGCACAAACUUAAACCAGUAGCAGGUUUUCAGCUCUUUGAUCGUCAUUUCCAGUACUGCUAAGUCUUCAUAGCGAAGACAAUAUUUCUCUAUUCCUAGAUUUUAUGGCAGUUGGGUAAAUAUGAUCUCAGAUUUCCUUUUAUAAAAGCAUUUCUCAUAAAUUGCCUGGAUACAAAUAAAUGCUGGAGAACACAAAGAGUUUUUCUUUGAAAAGAAAAGGCAAUAGAUUUUUUGUCAGUUAUGAAUUUUAAGCCAACAUUGUGAUUCAGGAGCAUGUGCUGAAACAAUGUUAAUAGGUUGCCUGCACAAAGGCACCUUCUCUAAAAUGCAGUCUUAAAAAAAUAGACUCAAGUGGCAUCUCUUGUGUCUCAAAGGUGUACAUGCACAUACAUAAAGAUCAUUCCUGGGCCAAAAAGGUACACACAGCUUUAAUUUUUCUAAUAUCCUCUGAAAGAAUGAAAUAAGCUGCUACCUUGGUGAUAGGACUCAUGUGAAACCAUUUUUUUGAUUUUUUAUUUUUAAUAAGUCAGGACAGCAGGACAAAGAAGAGAAAAAUUCAAUUUUCUUCACUGUAAAUCAGUCUCUAAAGGCUAUUAGCACCUGAGGAAGGUGAGUGAAACUCUUUACAAUGUGCUGCCAUUAACAGCUACUUUAUCGCCAUAUCUAUGUAAUGAAACAAGCACUACUGAGGCUAGAAAUGCAGAUUCUUUUCCCUUGUGAUUCCCAGUCAAUAAAUACUGAGCUGCAGUUUUGGGCUUCCUAGGCUUCCUACUAUGAGAGAUAGGGCAAAAGAAAAAUUCCAGUCAUGAUAUUUUAAUGUGCCCCCAAAGAUGCCAGUAUCACUAAAAAAGAGGAGAGAACUAAAUAAGGCCAAAUUACUUUUCUUUUUUUUUUUUUUUCCCAUGAGGCCUUUUAAGAGACACUUGAAGAAAUGGACUUAAGGAGUCUAAUUCUUUGACAAUGUGCCUCUACAAGUAGGAGGUGCCUCUUGAAACUUGUCAAAUUUUAAAAAUCAGUCUUAUCAUUAAAAAUAUCCCAGAAGAUCAUGCCUGGAAUAACAAUCAGAAGAGACAGAUUGAUUAGCGCUAUAGCUACUACAGUAUAGUAGGAAAAGCUGCAAGGGUUUUGUUCAGGACAACUUUCGUACUUUGAUUGGAACCAAACUCUGUUCUCCUGCUUCAUCUUUCUGAUUUUUAGUAUUCAGUGGCUGUGGGCCAUGUUCUGCUCUUAGCUGUUGCAGAAAAAGAAUAAAUAAAUCACCAAACCAAACACAGAAUGAGCUGAAGACAGACAAUUUGCUCUGGACCCUCUAUGUGUGAAGAUGACUCUUUAUAUACUGUAUUUCAAGGCAUUUUGCUAGGUACCUUUUAUGAGAGAGGCCAUUUGUGGCAUGUUAUGCAUGCAUGUUAUGCAAGACACAGCUGCAUUUACUAACAGCAUGGUUAAAACAGCAAAUCAAGCAUUCCUUAAUUGGGCCGCUCCAGGUUUAUCCUCCAAGCUGCAUGCCUGGAAAGGCCUCAAUAUCACAAAUUUCUAUACUAAUUGUACUAGGGGCUUUGCUAAAUUCUCCAAAUCCAGUCACUUAUAGGGAGCCUGGCCCUUUGGGGCCUAAGCGCCCAAAGCUCAUUAAAAUCCAGCAGCCCUACAGAUGUCCAUAGCAGUGGACCUUGAAAUAUGUCCCCAGUUAACAGCUCCCACAUUGAGAGUCCCAGGAGCUCCUCUCCUCCUUCCCCCAAUAGGCUUUGUAUGCUUUUAUUAAUUUAUGCUCUCUGGAAAUAUACUGGGGCAAGAUCUUUAGCUUGUGGGCCCCUAGCUCCAUCACUGUGUGUUUACAAGGUGAGAACACUUGCCGUCAACCAUGCCGGCAUGGGGAUAUCAUGGUUUUAGGCUGUGUCCCUACAGAGUUGUGGCACUGCUUGGGCAGGCACAAAGGCUCUUUCUUCUUUGUGUAGCUGUGCUGUUUUACAGCUGUCCCCAGCCCUGGCAGCCAAACUUCCAGGAAGAAGGAAGCUCCAGGCCCAGGCAUCAGCCUCUGUUCAAAAGUUUCAGAGCAAAUGUUUUGUGACUCUUCAAACCAACACCUCUGCAGUGUUAGGAUUACUGUCUCAGUCUGAUUAUGACCUGGUGCCAAUGCCUCAAAUUUUAGUGGGAAUUACUAUAUAGGGCAGACUACCAUUGAGAAAGUAUUAAGUAGAGAAUUGAAGAGGCCUCAUAAAGCACCUCAGGAUGUUCAAUGGACAGUUUGCCUCCAAACACCCUCUCACAGAGUAUAUCAAAUCUUCUCUCGGUCUGUGGGGGAAUGACACUUUAUUAUACUUUACUCGCCAUGUAAAACUGUGCUCAUUUCAUCAUCUACAAUUUAGGAGAUUCUUGCAACUAUUAGAACAGUGUCUGAAUAUGGUGGAAGUUAUUUACAGGUUUCAGUGUGGGAUUAUAUCUUUAUGAUGAAAAGUUCUUUAUGUGCCUCUCUUAAUUUAAGUAGGGCCAAAUUUCUAGUCCUUUUAAACUGCUUGUCAUCUGCAAGGCUAUCCCAAAGGUGGUCCAAAUUAAAACCAACCAAACCAAACAAGAAACAACCAACAAACAUUUCCUGUAAGAAUCUGGGGGAUACUUAAGUUAUUAGGCAACACUCGCAGUGUCACCAUUUUGUAUAUAUCAUAGAUAGGCUGCUUGAAGUCAUUUAUUGGUAAACUCCAGCACUUGCACCUAAACAGGUUCAGAAAGAUAAUAAAAAAGCACAUGUACUAGCGUAACAACUGCAGUAGGAAAUAUGUAGUGAGUUAGGUUUACAACCAGUCUGAAUACCUGAACCCAGACACCUGACAUGGCAUUUUAUAGUAAAGUGGAGCUUGGCACAUUGCAGAGACAGUCAUUUUAGGAGGGGCAAAGUUCAAGUAUUGGCUGAUAUUAAAAACCUGUGUCUAAGGUGCUUGUGGGACAACUGCAGGAAAUGGUUUGUAACAGUCUGAUUACCUUUCAAGUGGAAUUGUACUUAACUAGCUGGAAAAAAAUAAGAAAGGACAAGAAAAAAAAAGAAAAGAAAACCAAAAGAAAAUUUAGAAAAUAACAAUAAUUAAGGCAGCCUGACAUCUGUUGUAAUUCACGUGGGAAAACUGAUUGAAACUUGGUCUUUGGAGACUUAUGGAAACCUGCUAUUGGAGUUACUAUGCAGAUUAAAUUUUUAUCUGUUGUCCUUAUUAAUGAUACACAAGUGCCACUGCCACACUGUAUAAUGAAAAAAAAAAGUCUUAGCCAAGUGAAGAGAAAUUAAAUUGACCCAUUCUAUACUUUUGGUCAUUCUAUCAUUAAAUUUUUAGCAGUUUGGUUCAGUGUCAUAUUAGUCUGUGGAGUCAUAAUGAUAGUUCUGAGAUGUUCUUUAGUGUCCUACAGUCCCAAGCCUUAAUGACUUAAGUAAUUUAGAAUGUAAAUGAGCUAUUGUUAAAAAUUGAAUGUGUCGUUGAUAUUAUGAAGGAAAGGAAUUCAAAACAGUCCAAAACUGGUUAUUACUUCUAUUUAGAUCCAUUAUUAGUACUAGUAAAUCCUACAAAUAGCUAAACAGCUAAACAACCACUUAGAGGUUUGUUCUCCUUUACCUAAUUUGUAAAUCUUCUCCUAAUUAAGCAAGGUAAAGCAUGCAUACCUUUCCUUUCCUUGAACAUUAACCAAAAACCAGCACAAAGCCUUGUUUGGCUUGUAAUUCUGGUUUGCAACAUAUCAUUUUGUGGCAUUAGGUUAGAAAAGAGAGGGAAAGCAAGGUUUGCUAGAGAACAAGGAAGGCUCUUCUAACAGCAUGGAGUUAUUUGCCUUUUAAAAGUGUCUUUUGUCAGCACAAUGUAGCUCUUUUAGGCUGAUGUUCUUCAGAGUCCACCAUUUACAUGCAGGUUAACAUGAAGUAACUACUGCAGUACCGAGAUACCAGCAAAACAGCAUGGUAGACUUGUGUCCCCUGCGUAGUCAGAGCUGAUGCAUGUUGGUCAUCUACUGGUGACCAGUACAAGCAUCUCAAACUAUGUCUACUUUCUAUUGGUAGCAUAAAACCAAGAUUGUGUGUACCUAGGCUAUUCAAAACCCACGAUUGUGUGUACCUAGGCUAUUCAAUUCUAGUCUGUUCUAUUUGACCUUCUGUAGGCCAGAGCAUUGGCCCCUGUUGAUCAAGGCAUUGCACCACCUAUAGUCUUUGGAAAUGAUCUGGGUUGAAAAUGGGAGAUUAUAGGGCAAUAUUAUUAAGACAGAUUUGGCUUUGACAAUGAACUGCAUUUGGGUCUGGUAUAAAGGUAUAAGAUCAAAUACUGGGGUGUCCGCACUUAGACCAUUCAUAAAUUUAGACCACCAGCUCAAGAUUUUUCUUAGCAAUGCCAAUGCUGCCUCCUUGAAGCUGAAGACUUUCACAGCCUGCUGUUAUAAAUACUGUUACCUAAAACCCAGUCCGACUCAAAGCCACAGUUUUCUUUAUGUCUUAAAACACAUAUCAGUUAUUUCAACAUAUGGAAUUCAGUAAAGAUGGUGUAAAGCAUUAAGGUUUUCAACAGACACCUGAUUUUGGAGGCAGCAGCAGAGAAAGCUGUAUAAUCAAUUCAAAUUCACACACUUUUGCAAAAAUAACUAUGUUUUUCCUCAUUUUCUUCCUCCCCAAAGGUGAUUCAUAUUUCUUAAAAUCCAUUUUCUUUUUGGAUUAAAAAAAAAAGGGUUGUGUUCAAGGUAUUAGCAAUAAAAAUCUCAUCAGGCACAAUAUUUUGAAGGCUCACUGAACAGUUUACUUAGGACUAUACUGAGAAUCUGAAAGAAAAUAGCUUCAUGUUUGUAAUAGGUGUGUGGGGUGUGACACUUAAGGGCAAUUCAGCCAUCUAAAUUAGACACCCAACUCCGAGUCACUGGUGAGAGAAGUUCAUGACUGAAGCUUUAACAUUUAUUUAGAUUUUGUGAAUAUUCUGCACCUUAGACAUCUUCAAGAGGUCUGUAAAUUCAGGUGUUCCAUGUCCAUAUAAGACAGCGAUUUUUCUGAAAUCAUGUUUUCUGGAAUUAGGUUUCCCUGGCUUUUAAAGUAUAUUCAGACCUAACUGAGUGAGGACAUACAACGAGUCCAUUUUACAACAAACCAGGUUCCCAGUAUAGUGUGAGUACACUGGUGUUAGGAAGGCAGGAGUCACGUAAAGAGAGCUACUAAAGGAAAAAUAUUUAAAAAAAAAUAUCAACAAGAACAUUUUAAUAAAAUGAACAUUAAUUACUAAUAUGGAAAAGACUGAUCUUAGAUGGUUCGAUUUACAAUUUGAACAGAUGGAGGUCUCUUCUUCAGCUCUCUGGUAACAUUUUUUCAUAUGGAUUAGCAGAGCAAUUUGUUUAGCUAUGCUGUGAGUUUGAAGAAAAGCCUUUGAGCUGCAAUCUCGGCUUCAUUAAUAUCAAUGGAAAGAUUGUGUGACAACCACAGUUUUUCUUACAUAGCUGUGGACAUCCUAAAAGGAAUCCCAAAGAGAAGGCUCAUUCAUUUGGGACUGCAGAAAUGGAUGCUGUCAAAGUAAGGGAAAAUGUGGAAAUAAAAAAAGAAAAUAAGUAAGGAACCUUAUGGUUAUUCUUAAUUUUCAAAGAAUAAAUGUAUCAUAAAACAACAUUCCUAGUUUUAGGUACUCCACCUAUUGCACAAAUGUAACACAAAUAUUGCAGUUGCUUUAAGGCAGUCAUCAAUACAUACAUUCAAAAAAAGAGAAAGAAAAGGGAAAAACAACAAUAAGAGUUUGAGUUGUCCACAGUAUAUGGAAUUAAGCCCGUUUCAGCAUUAAGAAUUCGUAAAUGUCCGUCAGCUGGGGAAGAUGGUAAGUCUGUCUAAAGUAUAGAAGCACUUACAGUUUUUCAGAACUUUAAUCUGGAAAUGUGCAAUAUGAUAUAAAUCAAUUCAAAAUGACUGGAGUGUGUCAAUUUUUGUGGAAGAUAAUAUUCCAACUGACGCUUCUGAAUCAAACUUAAGAGAUACAUAUAAAAAGCAGCACUUCAGUCCCGAAACAGACCAAAAGAUUCAGACUGACAGUCAUGAAAUUAAGCCCUCUGAAAGGGGAAAAUUGCAAAUGACAGUGAUCAGUCAUUCUACAUAAGCAGCCAGGGCAUAUUCAUCACUUGAUAUUACCAAGAGUUUCUCAUAAGUGCUGCCUCCCCUUCAAAUCAGGUCGGAAGCAAUAAAGAGAGGGGUCUGUUCCUCUUCUUCCAUCUAUGAGUCUUGUGACCAUGCACAGAGCCUUGUACCAAUGGAAGGAAGGAGCUUUGCAUCCCUUGUCUCAUUUUUGUCUGCCUGUUGGUUAUAGCCAUGCCUUGGUGUGAUUUACUGCCUUUCUGUCCUCAGGUAGCUGCGAGGGGUUUGCUGGUGGCAGGUGGAUGUGCAUUUGUCUUCUCCCUGUAGCCAAUGGGGAAGGGUUAGAUGCCUCCACAUACUGAAAUAGGAGCCAGGGAAGUCAAACCUGAGAUGGAAAUCUUUGUAAUCUUUUAAUUAAAAGAUUAGAUUUGCAAAUGAGUAAGAAUUCAUGACAACAGAUAUUUUCCCAGGUAAUUCAACCAGGGACUAUUUCCUUCCAGCUUCCUUUUCUUUUUUGUAGAUGAAAAAUAACAUUUUUAAUUUCACAAGUGGGCAGAGUUUAAAAGAGGAGCAGGGUGGGCACCUGAGAAUGGAAACCACCAUAAUAACCCUGCCCAGUCAUUAGGGUAAAAGAGAAUUCAGCCCUAAGUCUUCUGGGGCUAUUUGGGAAGAAGAUGAAAUAAAACUCUAUACGCAGCACAAAAUAUCACAUAGAAAAUAUUCUAUGUGCAAAUUUUCAGCCUUGAGCAAGUAGGCAAUAAGAUUGUCCAAAGAAAAACUUCAGCGGGCGAGCAUUUGGAUAACUUUACCGAUAACUCCUCUCCUCAUCAUAACUCUGUGGUUCUUUCCUCAUUUAAACCUUUAAAAGUCAGAAGCUGUCUCUGAAUUCAGAACUUUUAUCACAAAGGUCUAACGACAGAAAUGUCAGGUCAUGUAUGUCUAGUGAAGUGUUAGCUCUCCAACCCCGACAUACACUGAAGUGGUGGCUUUAAAAUAAAAAUUUCCAAAACAGACACUAAGUAUAUUGACAACUGGUUGGGCUUCAUCAACUGUUAUAUCAGUUUAAAGCUGGUACAGCUCUGUUGUAUCACCUCUGUCAAACCAGGGUAGCAGAGCAGGAGUCCUUCUUUCACCAGGGACUGACCAACAGAUGAACCAGUGAGUGUAUUUUAUAUCUACCUUAGAAAUGUAGCUAUUCAGGUGGCAAUUGUAUUUCCAUUAAAAAGUCCAUUGCUAUACAAUUCUGAAAUAAAUACAUUUUCACUAAUUGCAACCCUCCGUCUCUUUCUUUUAUUUCUAUCCCCUUUUCCUUAGUGACAUUUUUUCUUGUCAGGGAAAGGUCGUGACAUUUCAAGGUGUUCACUUCCCGAAGCAUGACUCCUUGGAGUAAUGAGAUUCAGCUGAUCUGUCAGUAAAAAUCUGCCACCAGGGAAGACAAGCGCAGCAAAAGCAGAGCUCAGAAGCAUCCACCCGUGGUCACUGCGAUGGCCAAUGAUGUUGAUGGUGAUGUUGAUGGCCGCCCAUGAUCUCGGUGUUGUUACUGGGUUGUCCGGAAAGGACACGAGAUACAUGAUUCUGUGUCACUGAGUUUUGUUAUUAUCUUAACCUCUGUUUUCAAGCAUCCUGCUAAUUUACAUAGUGAUUCAAACUCAGACUAACUUUGUGUUGUUUUAACCUUAAACAAGGUUGUGUCAAAAUUCACCGUAGAGAUUUUUGGUUCCUUGGAGAGUAUAAUUAGACUUCAGACCACGAGAGUCAGCUUGAUCUUUCCUGACUGAAAUUUGUAGGCCUUUUUAUAGGUGGAGCAAGAUGUGAGCUCUCGCCUUCUUAACCCCCACAGAGCCUGCCAGCCAGCAACAUCAGCUGAACAAUCCUUGUCAGAAUUUUCUGUGGCUCUUGGAGGGAGAAGAGAUGCAAUUUGACCACAUACAUACUGUAAUCGUCUGGCCUACUAUAUAGUAUUACAAAGUAUUAUAUAGCCAGCUUCCCUUUUAGCUGCUGUUGUGCUUUAGGCUGAUGGUUUUUCUUUUGAAAAGUUCCCUUCAUUUUAUAGCACAUUUAAAAAUAACCAACAUAUAUUAAGUACAUAAAUUAAUAUAAAAAUUGAUUAAGUAUUAUAUGGUGUAAUUAUUAAAUUAGACUCUUAAUAUAUACUAAUAAUAUAUAAAUGUGAUUAUAUGUUAAAUAAUUAAUGUUUAUUAAUGCAUAUUACAUACAAUACAUAGUUUAAGCAUGCAGUUUGAAUUAAUUUGUUAAUUUGUGACAGAACUCUCAGCUUCAUAGUUUGCUUGGUCUUUCUGACACGCUUGCUUUCUGAGUCUUCAUUUCUAAUAUUUAGCAGAAGACACAAAUGAUAACUUUUUACUUAUGUCACCAAUAAAACUGUUGUGUUUUUUUUUUUUUUGUUUUAUUUACAUAGAUUAUAUGUGUGUUUGAGGAGCUCUUUCAGCGGAGAAGACAGCAAUAUAAAAUCUGAAGUUAAAGAAUUUAGGAAGGAAAAUCGCAUUACUGUAAGAUGAAUUGAUCUUUCCCUGAAGGAUAUGACACCUUAUGCUCUUCCCAACAGCUAAAGCUUUUUUGUCCUAAGCUUCCAAGAACAUUUAAAAGAAAAAGAGAAAAGCAUGCUUUUCUCCUGGUUGUCAUUUUUGUGAUUUUUACCUACUAGGAUAUGAUCACCCACUUUAUUCUGCUUUGUUCCCGGGCUUUGGCAGCCAGCAGGUCUGUUAUGUGGGCUCCUCAGCACCCAGCCCACCAGGACGCUGGGCUGUAAGGCACAGGGUGUCCCUCACAUCAGUGAGCAACACAAAAGCUUGCGAGUGAAUGAAGCUGACAAAAAUGCUGGUGUAAUGGCAAAUGUCCUGACAGCAGUUUCCAGCAUCUCUUCCACUUUGCAGCAGUGAUUUCCCAGUGACAGAAUAGUGCUCUGCAUAACCCAAGCAGAAAGAGGGGCAGCUAAAGCACAGGAUGCUGUUGGGUGCACACCCCAGCAGCCAGAUGUGUUUGUUGGGAGCUGGUCAUGCCCCUGAGAAGUGAUGCUGGAGUCCGACCUUGCUAAGUCAGUCUCAGGCUGGCAAACUAACAGAGCUGACUGAGUGAGCAGGAGCCUGAUGCACUUUACCACUCAUGUCUGGCCAAAUGAAGGCUGUCUGGUGCUACUCGUUUCCCUGUGACGCAGGGAAACAGCAACCUGGAGGUCUAAAAGAAAGGAUGGUGUGCUCCUGACACACAGCAUGACUCCUGCAGGCACGUGGGAGUUCUCUACCAGAAAUUAAAUUCACUUUAUUUCAUCUGAUGUAAAGGACAAGAAAAGAAAUUACAAAUAUAAAUGUUUCCUACUGUUUUUACUAAAUUUAUUUCAACUGGCUAGGCUUCUGUUAAAUUUAUUGAGUUGACAAAAAAUAGUGGAAGGUAUGAGAGUGCUGAAGGAUUUCUUUUUGUGUGCCUAUGUAUCACAUAGCCAUAUAUACAGGUAUAUUUUGUUCACAUGAAAGAAAGUAGUAAGCCUGUUUUUUCCACUUCCACUCUCAGUUGUUCAUCCAAAAUGUCUCUAGAAGUCUGAAAAUAAAAUUUCCCUCCUAAUGAUUUUGUUUUUUCCAUCUGCCUACUACUGAUUUUGCUUCAUUUUGUUUUGGCCAGGUAUGAGGUUAACAGUACCUGCUUUUCCUUGAUUUCCUUAGUACUGUGUCAAAGAAUAUUUGUUUCUGUACCAGAAAAAUCAGUUUUGCCAUGGCUUUAGUAACAGCAAUAUUAAUCAUCAUUCCACAUCCAGGCAACAGUGUUCAGUGUAAGUAUGUUCCACUAAAACUUCACUUAUUAAAAAGUAAUGAUCUCAAUAGGAAAAUGCUUUCUUAAAAAGAAAGCUAGUUAUCUAACUACAUGUUCCUGUAAAAAUAUACUUCCAUGCUCCUAAUUCAAAUUAUGCUAUGAAAUCUUUUAGGCAAGAACUGAUUUUUCAAAACUUUUAAAAACUGUGUAUGAAAACCUCUGCAUUUGUAUUCUUUUCAUAGCCCUUACCUCCAUACUAAGAGUAACAAAUAACGAUCCUGACAACUGCAGGGCUGCCACUCAAGAUGCAGAGUGCACCAGCGGUGCAGAGGGUUUGGGUUUAUUUGCUGUUGCAGGGAGAACUGCCACUUGUAGUCGUAGUUGGAAAAGUCUUUAUUUUUCUGUAUUUGUAAACACUUCUGCAUGCUAAGUAGCAUUUUUCAUAAUGUUUUUCCAGGAGGCCCCUGUGUGACCCACCAGAUGCUAUGAGUAGAUGAGCUCUUAAGGAGGAAAACAGGCUGUGGUUGCUGUAGCUUACGUUGGGACAGUUUGCUCGGAGGAUUCAUUCCUACUACUCAUAUGCUGAUUUAAGUUGAUGCGAAGUGAAGCUGGUGACAGCCUGAAGCUCAAAAUCUGGCAAAGAGCGAGCAAGGGACGGUGAGCUGACCAUCAGUGACAUACUUGAGCAGUCUCUUCAGAACUCCACUCAACUUUUAAGAUAAUCAAAACUGUGAUGUGUAUAAAGGUUUUAGUCAUUUCUGAGUUGCAGGUUAUCACUACAAAGCCAUUGAAAAGUUCAUGUGGCAGAUCAUGCUGUCUGGGAUUAGAUAGGUAAGACACAUUACAAAACUCUCCUAUGAAACUUAAUUUUUCAAGACAUUGCCUCCUAGGCUAAUGACUGCAGCCGGGUUGAUCUCAAGAGAAGUGAAAAGAAGAGGUUCUCUCCCAAAAUACAGCUUUGCACAGAAAAAUGUUUUAUCUGUUAAACUUCAGAGAUAGCAUGAGACUCACAGACUCCAAAAAUCUAAAACCAAGCAAAGAGAAAUUUAUUGAACUUUGAGAAUUGGAGGGCAGAGUUGAAGGGCUGAAGACUCUAUGGAUGAUGUUUUUUUUUGUUUUGUUUUGUUUUGUUUUUUUGUGCUCUUCAGCAUUUCAUGGUUGGUUUAAUAAUAAUCAUUAAAAAAAAAAAAAAAAGUUGUAGGCAGUGUAUCCAGAAAUAAUAUCCUGCCAGGUACGCUGCCUCACAGAAUAACCCACAGCAAGAGCAGCUUUGUAGUGCUGCUAAAUUGGAUUGCUAGAAUUGAUUUUGUUUACCAUUAUUUUGACAUAACAAAAUCUAUUAAUUAUUCAUCUGUUGCCUGAUCUAUUAACAAAUACGAUUUAUAAGUAAAAUUGACAUCUCCUGAGUGCUCUGUUCUUAGGAGGAGAAUGAACAAAUUAACCGGGUAAACAGCAGCCUGCAGGGAUCCCCCUCGCCCAACACUUUAGGCAGAGAAUCACUGAAUGAUUCAGGCUGGAAGAGACUUGCAGGAGGGUUGUUCAUUUUUUCUGCUCACAGCAGUCAAUGCUGAAUUAAAACUGUGUUGCUUGGGCCUUUGUCCAGCUGGGUCUUGAGGAUGGAGAUGUCACCUCUCCAACCAACCUGUUCAAGUCCCUUCAGAUGACUGAGCUAAUACUGACGUGGUUUCUGUGCAAAGAUGUCCUCCAGUAGGUAUUAGUUGUACCUCACAAGCAAGCUGUGAGGAAACAUGGUGAUUUUGAGAAUGUUCUCAGAUAAGAUUAAAAAAAUAAAGGGAAAUGUUCAAAAGUGUUUACAUCCCUUCAUCCACCUUCCUUCCUUCCUUCCUUCCUUCCUUCCUUCCUUCCUUCCUUCCUUCCUUCC